ACUCCUACGGGAGGCAGCAGUGGGGAAUAUUGCACAAUGGGCGGAAGCCUGAUGCAGCCACGCCGCGUGAGGGAUGAAGGCCUUCGGAUUGUAAACCUCUUUCGACAGGGACGAAGCGCAAGUGACGGUACCUGGAGAAGAAGCGCCGGCCAACUACGUGCCAGCAGCCGCGGUAAUAAUGGAGCAUACAUAUCAAUAUUCAUGGAUCAUACCGUUUGUGCCACUUCCAAUUCCUAUUUUAAUAGGAA
rnacentral:rRNA from 1 species